rnacentral:rRNA from 1 species
AUUGAACGCUGGCGGCAGGCCUAACACAUGCAAGUCGAGCGGAGCGGCGGUCGGGUGAGUAUUGCCUAGGUAUCUGCCUGUUAGUGGGGGAUAACGUCCGCUAACGGGCGCUAAUACCGCUUCCUAUCAGAUGAGCCUAGGUCGGAUUGGCUAGUUGGUGGGGUAAAGGCCUACCAAGGCGACGAUCCGUAACUGGUCUGAGAGGAUGAUCAGUCACACUGGAACUGAGACACGGUCCAGACUCCUACGGGAGGCAGCAGUGGGGAAUAUUGGACAAUGGGCGAAAGCCUGAUCCAGCCAUGCCGCGUGUGUGAAGAAGGUCUUCGGAUUGUAAAGCACUUUAAGUUGGGAGGCGUUACCAACAGAAUAAGCACCGGCUAACUUCGUGCCAGCAGCCGCGGUAAUAG